ensembl:ncRNA F13H6.15 ncRNA
AGUGCGUAGAAGUAUGUUGCGAGUAGCCGAUAAGAGAGCGUGCGAGACGAAAAGACACAGGCACGUGUCUUGGUGGCGUGAAAUUGAAAAAUGGGUGGAGAAAAAGAAGGGGGCAACUGACUGACCGACGAUGAGUGCACAUGGGUGGCAUAUCACCCACUUUUUCACAUGCACUUUUACUAUUUUUCACCCUUUUUUUUUGGCUUUUC